rnacentral:rRNA from 1 species
GACGUAGGGCGCGAGCGUUGUCCGGAAUCACUGGGUGUAAAGCGCGUGUAGGCGGCCUGCCAAGUCUGCUGUGAAAGCGCCUGGCUUAACCGGGCGAGGUCGGUGGAAACUGGCGGGCUGGAGUAUGGCAGAGGGGGGUGGAAUUCCGCGUGUAGCAGUGAAAUGCGUAGAGAUGCGGAGGAACACCGAUGGCGAAGGCAGCCCCCUGGGCCAAUACUGACGCUCAGGCACGAAAGCGUGGGGAGCAAACAGG